CCUACGGGCGGCAGCAGUGGGGAAUAUUGGACAAUGGGGGCAACCCUGAUCCAGCCAUGCCGCGUGUGUGAAGAAGGCCCUCGGGUUGUAAAGCACUUUCAGUGAGGAAGAACGCCUGGUGGUUAAUACCCAUCAGGAAAGGCAUCACUCACAGAAGAAGCACCGGCUAACUCCGUGCCAGCAGCCGCGGUAAUACGGAGGGUGCGAGCGUUAAUCGGAAUUACUGGGCGUAAAGCGCGCGUAGGUGGCUUGAUAAGCCGGUUGUGAAAGCCCCGGGCUCAACCUGGGAACGGCAUCCGGAACUGUCAAGCUAGAGUGCAGGAGAGGAAGGUAGAAUUCCCGGUGUAGCGGUGAAAUGCGUAGAGAUCGGGAGGAAUACCAGUGGCGAAGGCGGCCUUCUGGACUGACACUGACACUGAGGUGCGAAAGCGUGGGUAGCAAACAGGAUUAGAUACCCUAGUAGUC
rnacentral:rRNA from 1 species